rnacentral:sRNA from 2 species
UGAAUAGACUUGGGUCACUGUAGAUGAGAGCAUCACAGCUUCCCCCUCAGGCCAACAAUGGAAUAGAGCAACUAUGCCUCUCAGCUUCAAUUGAAGGUCAUGAGUGAGUGAGUGUGAGUGUGUGUGUGUAUGUGUGUGUGUCCAGUCUAUGAUCUGUGUUCCAGGGGUUGUGAAACAGUCUUCCUGUUCAACACUUUCACAACCUGCAGUGGCUGCUGCUCUUGGGAUCUGAAAUUGAGGAUGACACAACACACUGUAAGGUGGCUGUGUGGGAAGCCUGCGACGCUCCAGUGGCAGCUUCAUUGAACUGUCUUCUUUGCUGCUCGCACGGUAGUUGUCAUCUGUAUCACUGAAGGAGUGUGCACUCAAGCCACCCCUGUUGGACAUGGUCGUGUCAUCUUCGACGCGCUUUACAGGUUUCCCAGGAAGCCUACGACCCUGAGUAUUGGGGACCUCGCGCCUCAGCCAUGCACAAGUUUUCCAUUGGCGGGUCCGGUGUCGGCUGCUCAGCCCAUUCUCAUACUUAAUCGAGCUAAUAUGUCUUCUUCGAAGGGUAGGCUAGAGGUGACUGGUCACUUAGACAUAGAUAUAUAAAAAUCAAUCAUUUCAAAUUCCC